CACAGCAUUCAAGCUCAGAUAUAAAUUUAAUUUUUUUCUGUUAAAUAAAGAUCUUGAAGUUACAAAUGAGACUUACUUCCCUUGUGAUUGUUAAUGUCACACAUAGAUUUCACAUUGUUCUAGCACAGGACUAUCUGGACAACAACCUUAUAUUCUACAAACGAACUGAAAUUAUGCAAUAUAUGUAUUUACUAUUAAAAACAAUCUGUCAUGUUUGUCCUAAAGAGACUACUUUGUGCCCGUUCGAAUUAGGCAACAAUGAAUAGCAACAAGCAGAGAUGUCAAUAUUGAAGAGCAAUAUCAAAUAGUUGAUGAGAUCUAAGAUAGUUGAGAGGUUCCUUUUUUCUCUAUAAGUAGAUUGUCGAAAAAUAGCAAAAGAAACAAAAAUAAGCAACUUGGUCUAUAG
rnacentral:lncRNA from 1 species